CUUUCACUGGCUGCGCCGGGGGAUAUUGAGGGCAGGGUGAGUCAAGAAGAGGGAAAAAGUGGGAAAAGAGGUCUUGGGCACACGGUGGGAACAGGUCCCCUGCCCCCUCCCACAGGGGAUCCAUUCUUCUGGUAGGAGGGCAGAGGGCCAGGUUUGUGAGUGUGGGAUGGGAGGGUGCUGAACACUUGUAAGGAAGGGGGUGGGGUGGGGUGGCCUUGGCCCAUCAGCAGGUGCAUGGGAGGGGGAUCCCGGGCCUCUUUGCUGGCCCAGCAUAACCUGACACCAGCCCCCUGCCCUUCUAGCUAAAAGCCGGUUGCUAAGUUUAGCCUGCCUGGUGAUAAUCUUUGCUUAAAAAGCACCCACAGGACUCCAGUCCCUGACCCUGCCUUUCUGGGAUUGCCUUUCCUGCUGGGACCCAGAGCCAGGCUGUGUCCUCGUCUGGCUGCCACUGGCAUGCAGAGGCACCAGUGUGGUCACGACAGCCAGCUCACAGCCUCCGGUUCGAAGGUGACUCAGCAGAGAAGACUUGAGGAGCUGGAGAGGGGUGCGCAGGCUUCAGGGGGCAGCCCGCCUGCAGCAUAGCUCACGCCCUCUGCAGACCCGGGAACAAUGAGGAAUGCUGGGAGACAGGUCUUGUCUCCUGCAGAGCUGGAGGGGAUCAUGAUCUGAACUUCCACGAGCCUGGGCCGGUCUGCUGCCAACCUUUGGAGAUGGGAUUAGGGAACACGAGUGGGGGUGGGGUGAGGCACACGGCAGAAAGCAACCCUUGGUCUAGAGCAGGUUUUCUCAACUGUGACGCUAUUGACAUUGUGGGCCGUGUGAUUCUUUGUUGAGGGGCCAUCCUGUGCACUGCAGGAUGUUGAGCCACAUCCCUGGCCUCUUCCCACAAAUGCUGGUAGCAUUCUUCCCCUAUAGGCUAUGACAACAAAACAGGCCCCAGGUGUUGUCAGAUGUCCUCUGGCAGACAAAAUUGCCCCCGGUUCAGAAGCACUGAUCUGGAGCCUAGGCACUGCAUAAUUCUCCCCAGAGAGGCUGUCUGGUCACUGUGCAGGGUCCAGAGGUUGAGAGGGGAAAGGUGGCAGUGACGGGGCAGGAAGCUCAUCUGCCAUCCCGGGACAGGCCCUAGGACUCUGGGCUCACUCAUCUCUCUCUGCACUGAUAACCCUCUCUCUGCUGCAUGAAACUGGGCUAAUGUGAAAGAUGAAACAAAGACAAGCUUAGGAAAAAAUGUCUAAAAGUAUAUAAAAACAUUUAUUCAUUAGAAAACAAGGAGAUUGGCAAACAUAUAUUCCAAAGUUGAAGCAGCUCAACGCAGUUCAGUUAGGCUAAUUUAAGAGAAAGCCUUGCAUUUUAAAGAGCGUGUAGGCAUUUUUUUUUUAAUUUGAGAUGGAGGUUCGCUAUUGUUGCCCAAGCUGGAGUGCAAUGGUGUGAUUUCGGCUCACUACAACCUCCGCCUCUGGGUUCAGGCGAUUCUCCUGCCUCAGCCUCUUGAGUAGCUGGGAUUACAGGCGCACGCCAAUACGCCCGGCUAAUUUUUUAUUUUUAGUAGAGAUGGGGUUUCUCCAUGUUG
rnacentral:lncRNA from 10 species